rnacentral:rRNA from 1 species
GACGAACGCUGGCGGCGUGCUUAACACAUGCAAGUCGAGCGGAAAGGCCCUUCGGGGUACUCGAGCGGCGAACGGGUGAGUAACGCGUGAGUAACCUGCCCCAGACUUUGGGAUAACCCUCGGAAACGGGGGCUAAUACCGGAUACGACACAGCUUCGCAUGGGGUCUGUGUGGAAAGUUUUUCGGUUUGGGAUGGGCUCGCGGCCUAUCAGCUUGUUGGUGGGGUGAUGGCCUACCAAGGCGACGACGGGUAGCCGGCCUGAGAGGGCGACCGGCCACACUGGGACUGAGACACGGCCCAGACUCCUACGGGAGGCAGCAGUGGGGAAUAUUGCACAAGGGGCGGAAGCCUGAUGCAGCGACGCCGCGUGAGGGAUGACGGCCUUCGGGUUGUAAACCUCUUUCAGCAGGGACGAAGCGUAAGUGACGGUACCUGCAGAAGAAGCGCCGGCCAACUACGUGC